rnacentral:tRNA from 1 species
GCCACUGUAGCUUAGCGGUAGAGCGGCUGAUUCGUAACCCUCAACCCUUUCAAAAAGCGUUGACGGAAACGGGUGCCAUGAAUGGCACUUGCAUUGCUUCGCAAUGCCCUAUUUCCUCGCAUCCUUUGGAUGCUCGGUCAUAUGGAAGACGUAAAAAAGGAAAGUUAAGAGGGAGAAAUAUCAGCAGGUCGAGGGUUCAAAUCCCUUCAGUGGCU